CUGCAGGUACCGAGCAUGCUUGAGGCCCAGAAACAAGAGCCUGAAGCGUCCGCCAAGGGCCGCCGGAUGCUGUGAGAGAGCAUCUGGGUCCGCAAGAGACCGCUGGAGAACCUCGUGCAACGACUUCAACACAGUCCCUCCGGCAGAGCUAAAUUCCUCAGUGGCCAUCUGCAAUUCAAGUGCUCACACCAUCAGUCGAUGAAUUUCCCUUCAAGAGCUACUGCACUAGUCAUGGCCACCUCCAAGAACGGUAUUGAGUCAGGCAUAAAACCAACUUGCUUCUCGUCCAAGGCAUUUGAUUCCAAAGCACGGGUUCAGGUCAGCAGCAUUGCCUACCUGCCAUGCUUCCAGAAAGAACGAGAGCCAGAGGUGGUGGCAAGCAAUUGCGUCGGUCAUCGCUGACAGGUCUGGCGGCGCGCCCGUGCUGUUCCGGAAUGUACCGGCGUCGAAACUCGUGUCGAAGAGG
rnacentral:lncRNA from 1 species